AGUUCUCGUUGAUGAUCGGUGCUUGCACCGAGAUUCAACAUGGAACGAGUGGCGGACGGGUGAGUAACACGUGGGUAACCUGCCCUUAAGUGGGGGAUAACAUUUGGAAACAGAUGCUAAUACCGCAUAGAUCCAAGAACCGCAUGGUUCUUGGCUGAAAGAUGGCGUAAGCUAUCGCUUUUGGAUGGACCCGCGGCGUAUUAGCUAGUUGGUGAGGUAACGGCUCACCAAGGCGAUGAUACGUAGCCGAACUGAGAGGUUGAUCGGCCACAUUGGGACUGAGACACGGCCCAAACUCCUACGGGAGGCAGCAGUAGGGAAUCUUCCACAAUGGACGCAAGUCUGAUGGAGCAACGCCGCGUGAGUGAAGAAGGCUUUCGGGUCGUAAAACUCUGUUGUUGGAGAAGAAUGGUCGGCAGAGUAACUGUUGUCGGCGUGACGGUAUCCAACCAGAAAGCCACGGCUAACUACGUGCCAGCAGCCGCGGUAAUACGUAGGUGGCAAGCGUUAUCCGGAUUUAUUGGGCGUAAAGCGAGCGCAGGCGGUUUUUUAAGUCUGAUGUGAAAGCCCUCGGCUUAACCGAGGAAGCGCAUCGGAAACUGGGAAACUUGAGUGCAGAAGAGGACAGUGGAACUCCAUGUGUAGCGGUGAAAUGCGUAGAUAUAUGGAAGAACACCAGUGGCGAAGGCGGCUGUCUGGUCUGUAACUGACGCUGAGGCUCGAAAGCAUGGGUAGCGAACAGGAUUAGAUACCCUGGUAGUCCAUGCCGUAAACGAUGAAUGCUAGGUGUUGGAGGGUUUCCGCCCUUCAGUGCCGCAGCUAACGCAUUAAGCAUUCCGCCUGGGGAGUACGACCGCAAGGUUGAAACUCAAAGGAAUUGACGGGGG
rnacentral:rRNA from 1 species